rnacentral:lncRNA from 1 species
CUCUCUUCUGGAAAAAUCAAAAAACAACAUUUGAUACAACUGGUUCUAUCUAUAACACGCAUAGCAUAAUCACCUUAUCUCUCACUGGUCGAGCCGGCUACCACCACCAUGGUCCACAAAAAACCAUAAAGCCUAACACAUUUCACCAAAAUCUAAGCCAAAAAAACAUAAAACCCAAUACUUCAAGCAUUAAACCCCAUUUCUCCACAUUUCUCUCUUUCUCUCUUCUGGAAAAAUCAAAAAACAACAUUUGAUACAGUUGGAUCUAUCUAUAACACGCAUAGCAUAAUCACCUUAUCUCUCACUGGUCGAGCCGGCUACCACCACCACGAUCUACAAAAACCCACAAAACCCAACACAUUUCACCAAAAUCUAAGCCUAAAAAAAAACACAAAACCCAACACUUCACCAAAAUCUAAGGCAAAAAGACUGCAAAAUACCAAAACAUUACACCAAAAUUCAAACCCAAAAAUAACCCACAACAUCCAAUUGAUAACACCAAAAUCUAAGCCAAAAAAACAAAAAAUCCACAACUUCUUGAGAUCAAUAGAACUUGCCUGGCAACUGUGCUGGUUCUACUGGUGGUCCACCGCCUCGACGUCGCCAUUGAUUCCCCCAAAAUAGCUGAAACCCUAGCCCCACACUUCAGCCUCUGAACCCAAAGCACUUCCCGGUACUCUUCGUUCUGCCCUUGUCCAGGAGAAAAAUAAAGAGAUUAUUACAAUUUUAGAGAAAGAAAGAUUUGUUGAUGGGGAAGGGAAGUGGUGUGUGGGGGGUUAUAGUGGGGCAUGACUGUGAGAGAGAGAGAGAGGGGUGAAGUGUGAGUGAGAUGUUGCGUGUGAGUGGAAGAC